ensembl:lncRNA
GUAAGAUGCGCGCCAUCCUCCUGGGCUAAGAAAUGUCGUUCCUUCGGCCUUAAUUAGUAGGAAACCCUUCUUUCCAAGUUUUAAUGAGCACUUGUUCUCUAGAGCAGUCACUAGGUGGUCCCCAUGGGCCAAGACCUGGAAGAACUGUUCCCAUACAGUUGGAUAGCUUAUUGUACUUACCCCGGAUUAAUAAGAUACUAAGAGUCUCAUGGUCUCCAGGUCUACCAUAUCAGAAGGUAGAAAAGGCCUCCCAUGUAAACCUUAAAUGGACUCAACCCUGUUUUUGGUGUUUUGAAUCACAGGGUUAUUGGCAAUAAUCGGAGCCAAGACUCAGUCUCUUGGCAAAGUUUUGUCAGUUUGCUUUAGGGUCUAGCUGGCCCUCUUGACUGUUCUGGAGGACUGAGAUCUCCAUGGAGAAUAGAGACGGGAGAUAGUACUUUAUCCCUACAGCCUUUGCCACCUCAAGUUUUUUGAGAGGUAAAAUGUUAUUGCCACUCUGAAGGAACUGGAGCAGUCCAAACCAGGGAAUUUCUUUGAAGGAAGCACCUCAACACUACCUCCAUAGCCUUCUUUGAACAGGACUGGAGCCCAGGAGAUGUGGGAGCUUUGAAUGCUCGGGAGCUAAACCUGGCCUUAGCAGACUGACUGUGCCUUUUCCAAAGCCGCAUCCUUCUCCGACUCAUGAUAUAUCCGAGGCACGUGUCAAAGUCCACAUAAGACAAUGGCUUUGCUAUUGUCAACACCAGCAACUCAUAGGCAACGCCAGACCCAGCCUCUUCUGUCCAUCAGCUUGCUGCUGUACUGCAGAAUAACUACUUCAGUGCUGCUUAGGAGUUGAAGGAUUCCUGAUGUCUUCUGCAGCCUCUGGUGAGAAAUCUCUUCCAGGCAUCUGACAGCUCCCUGGCUGACAAGUGCGAGUCCGAUCUGGAGAAGGUGCUGGCUCCAGUAGCCUGAGGGUGACCCUGGUGAGAUAUGAUUGUGCAGCAAACUGUUACCUCCCUGCCUUUUCCUGAAGGAU